rnacentral:rRNA from 1 species
UACGUAGGUGGCAAGCGUUGUCCGGAUUUAUUGGGUUUAAAGGGUGCGUAGGCGGCCCUGUAAGUCAGUGCUGAAAUAUCCCAGCUUAACUGGGAGGGUGGCAUUGAUACUGCGGAACUUGAGUACAGACGAGGUAGGCGGAAUUGACGGUGUAGCGGUGAAAUGCUUAGAUAUCGUCAAGAACACCGAUAGCGAAGGCAGCUUACUAGACUGUAACUGACACUGAGGCACGAAAGUGUGGGGAUCAAACAGG